ACUCUCUUAGGACCGCACCUGGAGAGUUUCUGGUACUCUACCAGUCUCAACUACAGCAGGGAGAGUCAGGCAGAGGCAUACCCAUUCCAUUCCUUGCUUGGGCAAUGGCUAGAGAAUGGAAGGCAAUCUGCUACACGU